GAUGAACGCUGGCGGCGUGCCUAAUACAUGCAAGUCGAGCGAACAGACGAGGAGCUUGCUCCUCUGACGUUAGCGGCGGACGGGUGAGUAACACGUGGAUAACCUACCUAUAAGACUGGGAUAACUUCGGGAAACCGGAGCUAAUACCGGAUAAUAUAUUGAACCGCAUGGUUCAAUAGUGAAAGACGGUUUUGCUGUCACUUAUAGAUGGAUCCGCGCCGCAUUAGCUAGUUGGUAAGGUAACGGCUUACCAAGGCAACGAUGCGUAGCCGACCUGAGAGGGUGAUCGGCCACACCGGAACUGAGACACGGUCCAGACUCCUACGGGAGGCAGCAGUAGGGAAUCUUCCGCAAUGGGCGAAAGCUUGACGGAGCAACGCCGCGUGAGUGAUGAAGGUCUUCGGAUCGUAAAACUCUGUUAUUAGGGAAGAACAAAUGUGUAAGUAACUAUGCACGUCUUGACGGUACCUAAUCAGAAAGCCACGGCUAACUACGUG
rnacentral:rRNA from 1 species